GUCCGGUUAGCUCAGCUGGUUAGAGCGUAGUGCUGAUAACACCAAGGUCGUGGGUUCGAUCCUCGUUCGGUCC
rnacentral:tRNA from 1 species